rnacentral:siRNA from 1 species
GACGGGUGAUCCAGAAGCAACCA